rnacentral:rRNA from 1 species
UAGGGAAUCUUCGGCAAUGGACGAAAGUCUGACCGAGCAACGCCGCGUGAGUGAAGAAGGUUUUCGAAUCGUAAAACUCUGUUGGUAGAGAAGAACGUUGGUGAGAGUGGAAAGCUCAUCAAGUGACGGUAACUACCCAGAAAGGGACGGCUAACUACGUGCUAG